AUUGGGCCAUGAUUUUUUUUCAAUUUUUUUAAAACUAAAUUUGGUCAUGGGCGAGACCAAUGAUAGAAAAAAAAGGAUAACUACCCAGAAAAAGAAAUUCAAACUAGGGACAGGAAAAUCAAAGGACGAAGACCACUGGAAAAUAGGGGAGGAAAAAAAAACAGCGAUGCUCGAAAAAACAUAGCUCAAGCUAAUGCUAAAAAAUUUAGCUGGAAUCGUACGCCAGAAUGAUGACGGACCGCAGAGCCAGACGACGACGGUGAGAGGGUACUAGAGGACGUCGGCGCGGGCAGUAGCCGCUGGUGCUGGAUGCAAAAUACGGACGAAACUAGGCGAUCACCGGACGUCGCCGCGGACAGUAGCGGGAGGAAUAGGCGGAAAAAUGAGUUUAGGGGUUAGGAGAGAGAGAAUGAAAUUGAAAUUAAAUUUUUUUUGGAAAAAAAUAUUUCUUUUAUUAUCCUAGUACAUGUAAUCAAAUCUUCCACCUAGGCAGCAUUAAUGUACGUUAGUAGUUUCCUAAUAUAGAAGAAUCGAUUAAAUUUUUUUAAUUUUGUUCCAGGUUGCUGGUCCAAAUAAUCGACGGCCCAGGUGCUACAAGAAAACGAACGGCUGUGAUGAAGAGGGGUUUUCAUUAGAACCCUUCUUAACGGAUAUACACCCUAAUUAUAUAUAAUAUUAUAAAAAUAUCAAAUAUAG
rnacentral:lncRNA from 1 species